rnacentral:rRNA from 1 species
UACGGGGGGGGCAAGCGUUGUUCGGAAUUACUGGGCGUAAAGGGCUCGUAGGCGGCCAACUAAGUCGGAUGUGAAAUCCCCAGGCUUAACCUGGGAAUUGCAUUCGAGACUGAAUAGCUAGGGUACGGUAGAGGGAAGCGGAAUUUCCGGUGUAGCGGUGAAAUGCGUAGAUAUCGGAAGGAACAUCAGUGGCGAAAGCGGCUUCCUGGACCAGUACCGACGUUCAGGCACGAAAGCGUGGGGAGCAAACAGG